rnacentral:rRNA from 1 species
CCCUUAGAUGUUCUGGGCCGCACGCGCGCUACACUGAUACGUUCAGCGAGUAUAUAACCUUGAUUGGAAAAUCUGGGUAAUCUUUUGAAUGCGUAUCGUGCUAGGGAUAGAUUAUUGCAAUUAUUAAUCUUGAACGAGGAAUUCCUAGUAAACGCAAGUCAUCAGCUUGCAUUGAUUACGUCCCUGCCCUUUGAACACACCGCCUGUCGCACAAACCGAUUGAAUGAUUCGGUGAAAAUUUUGGACAUCGAGAGUGGUGAUUAAUUUCGCUGCUCUUAAAUGGAAAGAAUUUAAACCUAAUUAUUUAGAGGAUUGUGAAGUCAUAACA